UCCGGUUUGUCACCGGCAGUCCCCCAUGAGUCCCCGGCAUAACCCGCUGGUAACAUAAGACAAGGGUUGCGCUCGUUGCGGGACUUAACCCAACAUCUCGCGACACGAGCUGACGACAGCCAUGCACCACCUGUCAUGGGCCCUUUCGGACACCGUAUCUCUACGGCUUUUCCCAUGAUGUCAAACCCAGGUAAGGUUCUUCGCGUUGCAUCGAAUUAAGCCACAUACUCCACCGCUUGUGCGGGCCCCCGUCAAUUUCUUUGAGUUUUAAUCUUGCGACCGUACUCCCCAGGCGGCACGUUUAACGCGUUAGCUCCGGCGCGGAAGGGGUCGAAUCCUCCCACACCAAACGUGCACCGUUUACUGCCAGGACUAC
rnacentral:misc_RNA from 1 species